GACGAAGGAUGCAAGCGUUAUCCGGAUUCAUUGGGUUUAAAGGGAGCGUGGGCGGCCUUGUAAGUCAGUGGUGAAAUCUUCCCGCUUAACGGGAAAACUGCCAUUGAUACUGCUUGGCUAGAGUACAGAUGCUGUGGGCGGAAUAUGACAUGUAGUGGUGAAAUACAUAGAGAUGUCAUAGAACACCGAUUGCGAAGGCAGCUCACAAAACUGUAACUGACGCUGAGGCUCGAAAGUGUGGGGAUCAAACAGG
rnacentral:rRNA from 1 species